rnacentral:rRNA from 1 species
AUGUGUAGUGUAAUAUUCGUUCAGAAGGAGAAUGUUUUGCACAGGGAAUCAAUUUGGUAUGUGCUUUUAUUUUUAGCUGCUGCAGAGGUUUACAUCAAACAUUUGGGCGAUCUGGGAGGGCUGCGUGCUUACUGCAGGUUUGCUGAAUCUGCCUACAGCGAUCUGUGCGUGUUGUUGACUGAAAUGGAUAUAACCGCUUUCAGCAUAUGCAAAUUUCAGAUAACUUCAGAUUUUGUUGCUAGGACUUGUAUGGAUGGGGCAGAAUUUGCCAGGAUUUGUCAGUUCUUUUGCCUGAAAGGGUAA